GAGGAGGAGGAGGAGGAGGAGGAAGAAGAAGAAGAAGAAGAAGAAGAAGAAGAAGAAGAAGAAGAAAGUGCUUCUAUACAGCAGUGAAAUGUUUGUUCCUUCUCACAAACAGGUGUCGCUGUUGUUGUUGCUGUGUUGGCAUGAGCUACUGAAGGAAGGCCUUGGCAGACAAGGAGUCGUACUGCUGUAAGAGCAACAAAGAAACAUGCUGCCAAGGAGCCAAACACAUUGUGGCUAAAUAUAUAUUUUGGUUCAGUAUAAGUUGGCGAGAGCAGGUGAAAGCAGGAACGCAUUCUGGUUUAGAAUCUUGGAGAGCUUCCAUUUGGACAGCCAGAAUUGUCGUAUGUGGAGAAACGGUUAUUGCUUCUUGUCAGAUCACUGAAGUGCUCCGUUACUUGCAGUAGUACAAAGCAAGGAUGCUAAAACUGUUUCACAUCCAAGGAGGGAGAUGCCAGUGGCAAUGGCAGUGAUCUGCUGAACACAUUCCAAAGACCAAUUCAAUGAACCACGUGGGAAUGUAGGGUGUGUGUGUGUGUGUGUGUGUGUGUGUGUGUGUGUGUGUGUGUGUGUAAAGCACCUUGGCAAGGAAAUUGAAUAUUUGCCACAAUAUCAAAGAGGAAACCUGAAUUAGGGACAGAAAGAUGUAUUCAAAACAUGAGCAAUAGAUGCUUGUCCCAUAUGAAACUUGUUUUUAAAAAAUGACAGAUACCUUAGAAUAGAAACUACUCUCAAGACCAAGGCAUACCACAAGCUUAUUGAAACUUAAAAUCAAAUGGACAAACAAAUCCAUGUUUGGCUCUCUUCUUCCAUGUUUUGACUGAAAUAGCAUGUCCUAUGCCUGAAAAUCACACAUCCAUGGUGUGCAGCCCACAUUGAUGAGUGGGUGGAAUCUUAUUUUCCAUCUUUGCCCCCAUAUAUUCUGUUGCUGCUGUUUCUACAGGGAUGCGGGUAGUACUUUAUGCAUCCUGAGAACCAGAAAGGCAGGAAGUUUUGAUGUGCACAUGAACUACAACAGUGUUUUUCAAACAUUCUUUCAGUAAAACCUGGAGUUCCAGUGAGAAGAACAGUAAUGGCAGGCAAGUUUCCCUGAAAGCCCCUUUGCCCAUCUCUACCUCUUUUUGACUAUAGCAAGUGACCCCAGGAGAAUGUUGAAUAGGACACACUCUCCGUUCAUCUCUAUGGGUGACAGUGAUACCCUGGAGGUCUAGACAGCACGUCACAUGAACUGGCUGACUCUGGGCCCUAACAUUUCUAGAAUAUGCUUCAAUUUGCAGGGUUUCUACAGCAGGCAAGUCAUUGUGAAAAAGUGUUCCUGAGGGAAGAAUUUUGAAAAAUCACUGCCCGAGGAGAACGUGCAGAAACUUCCCAAAGAGCUCAAGUCAAAUAUAGAUUUUACUGGAUUGUGAGGUUCAUUCCCUGCCUUCUUUUGUUCUUUCCCAGCAGAGAACCUUCUCCAGACUUCCUUUUGAAACUUUUACAGUAUUUGACCCAUACCUGUUUAGAGAUGUGAAGGCCUGGGAAAGAAAUGGAAAAAUUGGGAACAAACCAGUUUCACCCCCCCUGUUUUUCCCUGAAGUACUGUUUUUCAAAAUAUUGAAAUAUUUUCUUUUGGAAUUAUGAAUAAAAUAUUUAAGAAAAUGUA